UACGAAGGGGGCUAGCGUUGCUCGGAAUCACUGGGCGUAAAGCGCACGUAGGCGGAUUGUUAAGUCAGGGGUGAAAUCCUGGAGCUCAACUCCAGAACUGCCUUUGAUACUGAAGAUCUUGAGUCCGGAAGAGGUGAGUGGAACUCCGAGUGUAGAGGUGAAAUUCGUAGAUAUUCGGAAGAACACCAGUGGCGAAGGCGGCUCACUGGUCCGGUACUGACGCUGAUGUGCGAAAGCGUGGGGAGCAAACAGG
rnacentral:rRNA from 1 species